UGACAAAAAAAAACUUAACCGGAAACAAUUUUAAAAAUAAAACAACAAUUAUGGAUAUAAGGAUGCUAUACAGGAGGCAGUUUCCGAGGGACUAAUUUCCGGAAGCACACUUUCGACGUUGGAUUACCAAACGUUGUUGGACAAACUAAAUACCAAUCAGAAGCGAGUUAUUCCAUUUGGCAACACUAGCAAGACUCGUUAUGCCUUGCUAAAGUGCUUUCAACUUUUAGGCAAAAACCAAUGAUGUCACUAAUGGAAUCUAUGAGUCUUAGGGUAGCUAUGAAUUAAGUUCAAAUAUAAAAUUAACAUCAAGUAUAUAUUCUACUGACAUUUCCAUUGAGCCGGCAGACGAAACAUUGAUAGAAGCCAAUUUGAAAUGGUUUCGAAAAGAGUGCCAUAGUGGAAAUGAAAGUUUGAUUCGAUCGGUCCACCUAGCUGACAAUUUGAAUGGCCCACGUGCAAUGUUUUCAAAAUGCAAUUAUGAGGACUGUGAAU